rnacentral:rRNA from 1 species
UCCUACGGGGGGCAGCAGUGAGGAAUAUUGGUCAAUGGCCGAGAGGCUGAACCAGCCAAGUCGCGUGAGGGAAGACGGCCCUACGGGUUGUAAACCUCUUUUGUCGGGGAGCAAAGCGGACCACGUGUGGUUCAUUGAGAGUACCCGAAGAAAAAGCAUCGGCUAACUCCGUGCCAGCAGCCGCGGUAAUACGGAGGAUGCGAGCGUUAUCCGGAUUUAUUGGGUUUAAAGGGUGCGCAGGCGGCGAGUUAAGUCAGCGGUAAAAUUUCGGGGCUCAACCCCGACGAGCCGUUGAAACUGGCUUG